CCCUUAGAUGUUCUGGGCCGCACACGCGCUACACUGAUUCAUGCAACAAGUUUUGUCCUUGGCUGAUAGGCCUGGGUAAUCUUUGAACGUGAAUCGUGAUGGGGAUAGAUGAUUGCAAUUAUUCAUCUUCAACGAGGAAUUCCUAGUAAACGCAAGUCAUCAGCUUGCAUUGAUUACGUCCCUGCCCUUUGUACACACCGCCCGUCGCACCUACCGAUUGAAUGGUCCGGUGAAAUCUUCGGAUCUGAGAGAUGUCUGAUUAAUUUCGGACGCCUUUUGGAAAAGUUGCUUAAACCUUACCAUUUAGAGGAAGGUGAAGUCGUAACA
rnacentral:rRNA from 1 species